rfam:Serratia marcescens subsp. marcescens Db11, complete genome
CCAGGUUUGUUGCUAACUGACUGUUUUUAUAACAAACAGAAAUAUUUGCCCUGCAUGAGCGAUUAUGCGUUAAUAACCGACGGCGAAAGAAGGCCUACAUAUCACAGGGUUUUCGCGUCUCGUGCCGUCAAGGCAGGUUUAUCAAGUAAAGGAAACACAAAUGAGCAAGAUCACUGGUCACGUUAAAUGGUUCAACGAAAGCAAAGGUUUCGGCUUCAUUACGCCUGCCGACGGUUCUAAAGACGUUUUCGUUCAUUUUUCCGCUAUCGUUAGCGAUGGGUUCAAAACCCUGGCUGAAGGCCAGCAGGUUGAGUUCUCCAUCCAGGACAGCCAACGUGGCCCAGCCGCAGCCAACGUCGUUGCGAUUUAACGACUGCGUUGCCAAGAAACCCGCCGCCGGCGGGUUUUUUUAU